UCCCGUUCCUGAAAUCCUGGGAGCUAAUGCGUAGGAUGAUCGUGACACGCUAGGGUGGACUUGGGCCUUAGUGACAUAAAACAAAACUAGACGUAGUUUAAUUUCGUCAUGUGCUCUUUAUUUCUGUAGUUUUAAGACGAUGUGGCUUGUUGGUUCUUGUUUGAACAAUGAAUUCCACCCUCGGGUGAUGAAUAAGAUAAUACUUUAAAUGCCA